rnacentral:lncRNA from 1 species
AUGUUGGGGUCCUCCUUCCCAAGCCCGGCACCACCCAUGGCCACUUAUGACAGAUAUGAAAAUGGGCUGGAGAAAGAGCCGGGACCCCUUCAUGAGCCUGUCCAGGAACCACCAAUACCAGGCUUCUGCUCCAUCGAGGGCCUCCCUUCCCUGAUUGUUUCUCCUCAUUGCUAUCACAUGUGUAUCGACAAGGAGCCAGGCCUUCUCCAUGAGCCUGUCUGGAAUACGCAAUUGCUGGAGGAGCCUGAAACAGAAACAAGCCCACCCGUGGUGACUCCGCCAUGCAGGUGUCAGAAGUGGCUGGAGAGACCGAUAAGCCCUCUCCACGAGCCCCUGUGGGAGCAACCUCCAUUGGGCGGCUCCUUAUUAUUACAGACUCCGCCGGAGCCUAUUGAAUUUGACGGAGGUCAGAAAGAGAAGAGACAACACAGAGACCAUCUCCAUGAACCUGUCAUGAAGCAACAACCGACAGGCUCCUCCCAACCAGAGCGCGAGAGAAGGAAGGAGAAGCCAUUGGGUCCUCUUCACGAGCCCGUCUGGUACCGACUGCCCUUUGUAUCUUACUUUCUGCAACGGGUUGCAUCACGACUGGACUUAACAUCUGGCCAUUCUCUGCAAGGAGCGGAGAGAGAAGCAUCCGGUUCCUCCCAAGCAGAAGAGCCUCCACCAGUGGCCGUGGCACCUCCUAGAAGCUCUCAGAUGGGGAGAGAGAAGUGGCUAGGGCCGCUUCAUGAGCCUCUGUGGGAUCAACCACCAUUGGGUUCUUCCCUUCUCCUGCAAUGCCUACCAGAACCCAUUGAAUUUGACAGUUGUAGCAACGACUUGAAGAAAGAGCCUGGUCUUCCGCAUGGACAUGGUUCCUCCCAGCCAGAACGAACAGGACCAGUGGCCACUCCACCCAGAAGCCACCCCCUCGGCCCUCACUGUGAACCUGCCUGGGACCAACUGCCAUUGGGUUCCUCGCGCCUGGGCCGGGUGUCCUCCAUGGGGGUCUUACCUGGCCAAGGCCAGGAAGUAGGAGGGAGAGCCUUGGGCCCUCUCCACCAGCCCUUUUGGGAAUGA